GAUYCUCCCACMAUGGACGCCCAAGUCUGAUGGAGCAACGGCGCSUGAGUGGAUAAGCUUUCGGGUCGUAAAACUCUGUGUUGAGAGAAUUGGUCGGCAGAGUAACUGUUGUCGGCGUGACGGUAUCCAACCCAGAAAGCCACGGCUAACUACGUGCCAGCAGCCGCGGUAAUACGUAGGUGGCAAGCGUUAUCCGGAUUUAUUGGGCGUAAAGCGAGCGCAGGCGGUUUUUUUAAGUCUGAUGUGAAAGCCCUCKGGCUUAACCGAGGAAGUGCAUCGGAAACUGGGAAAYUUGAGUGCAGAAGAGGACAGUGGAACUCCAUGUGUAGCGGUGAAAUGCGUAGAUAUAUGGAAGAACACCAGUGGCGAAGGCGGCUGUCUGGUCUGUAACUGACGCUGAGGCUCGAAAGCAUGGGUAGCGAACAGGAUUAGAUACCCUGGUAGUCCAUGCCGUAAACGAUGAAUGCUAGGUGUUGGAGGGUUUCCGCCCUUCAGUGCCGCAGCUAACGCAUUAAGCAUUCCGCCUGGGGAGUACGACCGCAAGGUUGAAACUCAAAGGAAUUGACGGGGGCCCGCACAAGCGGUGGAGCAUGUGGUUUAAUUCGAAGCAACGCGAAGAACCUUACCAGGUCUUGACAUCUUUUGAUCACCUGAGAGAUCAGGUUUCCCCUUCGGGGGCAAAAUGACAGGUGGUGCAUGGUUGUCGUCAGCUCGUGUCGUGAGAUGUUGGGUUAAGUCCCGCAACGAGCGCAACCCUUAUGACUAGUUGCCAGCAUUUAGUUGGGCACUCUAGUAAGACUGCCGGUGACAAACCGGAGGAAGGUGGGGAUGACGUCAAAUCAUCAUGCCCCUUAUGACCUGGGCUACACACGUGCUACAAUGGAUGGUACAACGAGUUGCGAGACCGCGAGGUYAAGCUAAUCUCUUAAAGCCAUUCUCAGUUCGGACUGUAGGCUGCAACUCGCCUACACGAAGUCGGAAUCGCUAGUAAUCGCGGAUCAGCACGCCGCGGUGAAUACGUUCCCGGGCCUUGUACACACCGCCCGUCACACCAUGAGAGUUUGUAACACCCGAAGCCGGUGGCGUAACCCUUUUAGGGAGCGAGCCGUCU
rnacentral:rRNA from 1 species